rnacentral:rRNA from 1 species
UACGAAGGGGGCUAGCGUUGUUCGGAUUUACUGGGCGUAAAGCGCACGUAGGCGGAUCGUUAAGUCGGGGGUGAAAUCCUGGAGCUCAACUCCAGAACUGCCUUCGAUACUGGCGAUCUCGAGUCCGGAAGAGGUGAGUGGAACUCCUAGUGUAGAGGUGAAAUUCGUAGAUAUUCGGAGGAACACCAGUGGCGAAGGCGGUUCUCUGGGCAUUACCUGACGCUGAGGAGCGAAAGCAUGGGGAGCGAACAGG